GGCAGCAGUCUGUAAUAAUUAAGUGCAUCUUUACUUUUCUUUACAGCAUCUGCGCAUUCAUUGUCCCACCAUGGAACUGGUUUUUUAUCAAUGUAUUGGGAUAUAAUUGAACAAAGUCCAGUUUGCUUUUUUGUACAAAUAAGGAUCAGAGGGAUUAUUAACUUCAUAUUUUUCUGCAUUUAGGUAAAUGUCACAAAUAGUGGGAUAGUGGUAGCUGCCCAUUGGGUCAUCAUGUACUCUCCAAUGGCAGAAAGGGGCUAUAGAUGGAGUGACGCAAGCAAUGUCUAUAGCUGACUGGUUAUGGGAUAUAUUCCCUUCAGUAGUGUAGGCCCCUGUAUUAAGAAUACAUAAGUUACAUUCAUCUAAUAAAUUAUAUACAUCAUUGCCUCUUGAGUUAGUGGAGCGACAUCCAAAUGCUACAAGAUGAGCAUUCAAAUCACCUGGCUAGUAAGUAACAUUGGCGUUGGUAAAUCAUCGAUUAUUUGCUUCAGUCUCCUACACUUAAAUCUACUCCCUUGAGGACGGCUAUAUGCACAGAGAAUUGAUAAUUGACCAGUCUGUUUUUGAAAUUAUUGCCACAGAUUGUAAGAAAUCAUAAAAAUUUGUGGGUAAUAUUUGGAAUUUAAAUGUAUUUUUUAUUAGUGUGGCAACUCCUCCACGUCCAUUAACACCAUUCUGAUUUAUCAUAUUGUAGUCGGGAAUCCUAAAUCUAUUUCCAUCCUCCAGCCAAGUUUCGUUCAAUAAACAUGUAUCUAUAUCAUUUUCUAGAAGAUUGCUAAUCAAUAAGGGUUUUUUUAUAGUGAAACUCUGUACAUUGUAUUGUGAAAUUCUAAUAAAUUUUUUAUCCAUU